AUUGAACGCUGGCGGCAGGCCUAACACAUGCAAGUCGAGCGGAUGAAGGGAGCUUGCUCCUGGAUUCAGCGGCGGACGGGUGAGUAAUGCCUAGGAAUCUGCCUGGUAGUGGGGGAUAACGUCGGGAAACGGGCGCUAAUACCGCAUACGUCUUGAGGGGGAAAGGGGGGGAUCUUCGGACCUCACGCUAUCAGAUGAGCCUAGGUCGGAUUAGCUAGUUGGUGGGGUAAAGGCCUACCAAGGCGACGAUCCGUAACUGGUCUGAGAGGAUGAUCAGUCACACUGGAACUGAGACACGGUCCAGACUCCUACGGGAGGCAGCAGUGGGGAAUAUUGGACAAUGGGCGAAAGCCUGAUCCAGCCAUGCCGCGUGUGUGAAGAAGGUCUUCGGAUUGUAAAGCACUUUAAGUUGGGAGGAAGGGCAGUAAGUUAAUACCUUGCUGUUUUGACAUUACCAACAGAAUAAGCACCGGCUAACUUCGUG
rnacentral:rRNA from 1 species